CUCACAAGAACAUAACAUUAUUAAUAAAUGUUCUCACCGAUAAUAGCAGCAGCCAGUCCAUGCAAAAUAGCGCAGUUUACUUCCUGUAUUUUCCCGGCGCCCCUUGACCUCUCGGCAAGCACGCGGCUGUUUGAGUCAGCAACGCUAUGCCCUCUGCUGUCUAAAAUCAACACCUGCAGCACUCUCGCUACAGCAGAAAAUUGUGCAAAUAGAGGUUUUGUAACUUGAAUCUCUUGUAUAUUUAAGGUUUGAUUAUAUCACCUGGUUACACAUAUUUGUUAAAACUGUCAGUAUUUCCUGUGAAGAGCCCUAUAAAGAGUCGCUUCAUCUCUGUUCACUCUAAUGGACCAGUUUUUUACAGCAAUGGCGGGUCAUGGAGCGUCUGAAAGGUUCCCGGAAGUUAGCAGCAAAUGCUUGCAGCGCAGCGGAGCUGCAUUUGAAAAUGCUAUUUGGGACGCACGUUUAUCAGAAAUGGGACAAACAGUAAAGAGCGCACGCUUCAGGAGCGUCAAGAUUAAGGUGGUGAGGAAGUCAAGGUCCUCCCCAGCCCGGCCCCGAACAGACAGACCCUUCGGACCCUUCCACUGUUACCCCUCAACAGACUGAACCUAAUGAUGUGGAUCUGAGCAGAAGUUCAUGUUCUGAGACUGCGUACAGUGAGGCAAAGAAGAGAGAGCUUUAUGCCUGGGAUGCAGUCGAGGAUGACGUGCUGACGGUGUCCUCUGAAUGUUCGGCACCAGUCACUUUUGCCUACAACAUGCUGAUUAGAGGUUAACACGCUCCACAGAGCCCUGGUAGGAGAAUCCAUGUCCCAGUUUGAUGAUGGCACCACAUGCCCACCAGGUCCAAAGGUUGCUUCUAGUGUCAGGCUGCUUCCUGUUUGAUUAACCAGAACUGCAGUUUCCAUGAACUGAUGGC